GUUGUUGCUUUCCCACGCUGGCUGAAUGUGACUUGACCCCAUUUCAAAAAAGUUUGACAUAGUGCUUCAACAUUUCCGCAUUCCUCCGCGACUACAAAGGCUGCAGCCGCCUCCUUCUGCUUUCUGUCUCUGCUCUCUGUCUUCACACUCAAUGAAAUCCUUCAUGUGCCUCUCCCGAGGCCUGCCAAGCACCGCAAAGGUCGCCACCAGCGCAGCGACAAGAGGCCGCACCGGGGACCACGGCUCCUACGUGUGCGCACACGCAGAUGCGCCCACGUGCACACUGGCGCGCUGCGGUCUGCGGGGCGGGAGCUGCUCACUGUCGGAGGAUAUGAUUUGGAAAUUGUCAGGCACUCUUGUGGUUAACGAUCUACGUGGAGGAGCUGGCCGAUUCACAAUUAUUAAGUGGAUAGCAACUGCUGAGGGUUCACUAAGGUAUUUCUGGGGAGCUAAAAAGACUAAAAUUCAAUGUAAAUAACAGAACAACAAGAUAAUAGGCACACACACACACACACACACAGAAGAGAAAGUGAUUUGGUGGGUGCUCAAUUUAAAUGCAUUAUUGGAAUUCUGAAAUUUGAAACCUUGUAAGAAUGUAUCCUUUACCUGCUGAGAAAACCUGAAUACAGUUAUUUCAGGUGAAAAUGAGAUUUUGGAGGGAAAAAAAGUCUUCAAGAGUUUUUACCAUGAAGAAAAAAAACUUAAAAUUAACUGAUUUUUGGAAAGAUUCAGUGUUGUCCAAAAAUCUGUUAUCUGUAGAAUACUUUAAACCCCUUAAACAUCUUAAAGCAAAGCUAAAAAAAAAUUAUUUAUUUCAAUGCUCUGUGGAAAAAUUUUAAACCAGCAAAAUUCUAUUUGAAUUAGAAAUAUACCCUCUAUAAAUCUUUUGACUUUUUAAAUUAAACCAUGUUUCUAAUUUCACUUUAGAUCAAACUUUUGUCUUUAUCAAACUGGUUCUGUACUACACUGUGAAAUAAUAGGUUAGGUAAAUAAAAAUUGUUGCCUUUCCAUUAGCAAAUAUUUUGCAAUGAAUUUUAAUAAUUUUUCUUAAAUAAUAAAUGAAUAAAUGUUAUAAUUGUGUUUAUGCUUAAGAUAAUUCAUAAAAUACAUUUGUAUUUAGAAACAUCUAAAAAUAAAAUCCAAUUUCUAAACAAAAUUUGUAUUUGUAAAGAUAUUUGUAAUCGUAUAUAUUAUCUAGGCUUAAGAAAGCAAAUUGUUGGAUUUUGUAUUUGUAUAAAAUAUAGGAUCACUACAAGUCACUAGACUUUAAACAAGAGACACAAAUGAGAAUUCUCCAUUUUGAUAAUUGCUCACACUUACCAAUGCUUUUUAAAACAAGAUUUAUUUGCUGGUAAUUAAUACAUUUAUAUAAUUCAGAAAUAAUUGUCACUCAAUAGUCAGAGGAACCAGCAAAUGAUUGUAAGAAUUUAUCUGAGUAAAUAAUUUGUUUAAAAGACAUUAAGCUGUAAAUAUCUUUAAAAAUUAGCAGAAAAGUGUCUUUUCUACACUGCAUUGCAUUUUUAAUUACUUAAUUUGACAACAACCAUAGGUGGAUUAGAUAUUCUAUAAUUUAGGUUACUAGAUCACUUAGGCAAUGUAAAAAAUAAUGAAACUUUAUUUAACUAUAUAUGUUAAUAUUGAAUAUUAACUCUAUGUCAUCUGCUUUCUCUAAUAUUGUUAAUUUGUCAUUGUUCACUCUCCCGGGUUGUGGUUACUUAAACCAUAUCUUGUUACUUAAACCUUCAGACCAGAAAGUUUUACAAUGGAUUUUAUAAAAUUAGCAAAUAUCAGAUUGUUUUUGUUUAUAGAUAACUUCCUCUGUGGGUUAUCAUAACAAAAUUUGUGCAAAGUUUAUAAACUGUGAACCAAAUUCCGAUUCUUGUUUAGGAAUCUUCGAUGAAUGAAAACAUAGCAUCAAGAAUAAAUAAUAAUUUGCACCAGUAUUUUCACACUGCAUAUCAGAUAUUCUAAAGUUGCAAAUCAUCUUACAGGUUUUAAAAAAUUAGAACUCCUAGGUUUACCCCCAAAUAUGUUGUAGCUUACCUGAACGUUUUCUUAGUGUCACAGAAGAAAUGUAUUCCAUGUGUGAAUACUUUAUAUCAAAUAUCUAUAAGUUUUUGUUUUCACUAAAAUAAAAGUAAAAUUUUAAAUUCUGGUCUGUAAUUUAUAAUCUUGUUUAAGAAAUGAAUACUUUAUUUAAAAUUAGUCAUUAUAUAAUGUACAUCUAAUUCUAAAUGAUCUCUGAUUUAUAUUAGCUAUAUGAAUUUAAAAAUACAUUUUCCAGAAACUCAGAAAUGAAGUUUUGCUUAAUCUAUUACACAAUAAUUUCAAUUGGAGUUCCAUGUAAAUAUAUGAUUUUUUUGUCUAUGACGUUCUCCUCUUUUUUGUUUUGAUAAAACCUUUUCUGGUUUAAUAACUGUGAAAUCAGUUACCCUUGUUUUAAACUUGAUUUAUAUGAAUAUGUAAAUGUUACUUUUGUUGAGUAAUUACCAUGAAAAACUAUAAUUUUAAUAGGAAUAGCAUAAUAUAAUGCAGUGCAUUUUAAUGUAUUUUCCUCCCCAGGUAUUUCUGAUAUUUUCUUUUUUUUCCUUUAAAAUAUAAUAUUGAAAAUUUCCUAAAUAUCCUAGGAAAAAUCAAUUGUACUACCAACUUUUUCAAUUAUAAAAUUAUGAACUUUAAAUAAUUUUUUAAGCUUAAUUUUCUAAAUAAAUUACUUCUCACCAA